rnacentral:snoRNA from 1 species
AGAUAGCCUUUUUAACAAACAAUGUUCCAGGAGGCUGCCACAGGAACACUGUGACUCGUGGGCCCUCUCCCCUGGCCUGGGUGCAGGGAUAAAUUUGGUUACAGACACUG